ensembl:lncRNA
CAAGUCAAGUAAAUGUUUGAUUUUAAAUGUUAUCGAUUUUAGGUUACGUAACGAUUUCUCAUCAUAACUGUCCUGGUUUUUCUGUGUGGGUUUAGGUGUAAGAUUAGGAUUUGUUGUGGGUUUUGGAGACAGGAACCAAUCAGACAGCUGUCUCCUCUGUGUAUGAACCAAAUAAAAAAAGAGGGAAGUCAUAAUCAGGUUUUGAAGAGUCAAGCAUUUGUUGUUCUGCAGAGAGCUACAGAGUACUUGGACGUGACUGACUUCAUAGAGGGUGAGGUUUUUCAGCAGUUCAAAACUUUACACUUUACUGUUUCAUAAAAGUAUGGCUUGAGUCAAUGGAUCAUUUGGAAUGCUUAUAUAUAUAUAUAUAUAUAUAUAUAUAUAUAUAAAUUUUUUUAUUUUGUACUUUAUGACUUUUUAAUUCGACUUGGUUUGGAAAUGUGAGGCUAUCUGAUUACAAUAUAAAACCAGGCAAAAUGCAUAAUCAAUUUAUAAUGCAUAUUUUUUUUUUAAGUAAAAAAAAUAUAUUUUUGAGAAACCAGCUUAAUGAUCUUAAGUGUGCUGAUGCCAGGUCAAUAUACUUCUUUACAUCUGCAUCUGACUUGCAGUCCUAAUUAGCCAAGCUUCAUUCAGCUGGCAAUAUUGGAAUGUGGACAGUGAGAACAGGUUAAUAAUUAAUAAAAACGUAUAUGUGCAUAUAUGUGUUUUAUUCUGUUCUGUCUUCCUGUUUUGUCAGGUGUGCAGUAGUACUGGUUGAUUUCAGGAACAAUGGCAGUCUGGCCUCUUUGUCUGUCUUUCUUUCUGCUCUUUGCUCUGGAGGCUUCAGAGGCAGAACCUUUUACUGGCACAGGCGGUGAGCUAUUUUAGUGUUACAUUUGUUCUGUCUAGUUGUAGUGACAAAAGCGGGUCGUCGCUGGUGGGGUGAAAGGUGGUGAUGAUUCUAGGGGCCCACGGCUGUGGACAGCGCACAAACACUGAACUGAGCUCUUCAUCUGCACCUGAGUGAACAAAAACACAUACAAACACAAAAAGAGGUGAAAAGUUUAAUCCAGCAUCGAUGAACUGUGUUCUGUGCACACAGAGAGCCACGUCUCAGCCCUUCAACACGAAAUUGAGUUUUGUCUCUUCUUGCUCUUGAACGGAUAAAUGCAUAAAAUAUUGUUGUACCCGUUUUGGCGGUCAGUUAUCUCUUAAGUGAAUGCAAACAGUUGAGAAAGAAAUCGGAUGCAUUGUCUCUUAAAGUGACUGCACCUAAUUUACCAGCUGCUGUGAUGUCCUUAUGUUAAUCCAAGAAAUCUAAUGAGAGAAAAUCACUCACUGCCCUUCACUAAAUUACUUUGUCCUUUUAACAAGAAUUCAACUCUUUUUAAUUUAUAUAGUGAAGACUAUGCAAUGCUAUUUUACAUUUGAUUAUUUAGUCUCUGUACCUGGACAAUUACAAACGUAACAUUGUUUAACUUGUAUCUUUGUUCUGUUUAUUUCUUUGUGCUNCCGUGAGGGGCUGUUGCGCUGUUU